rnacentral:rRNA from 1 species
UACGUAGGGUGCGAGCGUUAAUCGGAAUUACUGGGCGUAAAGCGUGCGCAGGCGGUUCGUUGUGUCGGUGGUGAAAGCCCCGGGCUCAACCUGGGAAUGGCCGUUGAAACUGGCGAACUGGAGUGUGGCAGAGGGGGGUGGAAUUCCGCGUGUAGCAGUGAAAUGCGUAGAGAUGCGGAGGAACACCGAUGGCGAAGGCAGCCCCCUGGGCUGUUCUUGACGCUGAGGCGCGAAAGCUAGGGGAGCAAACGGG